GGGUCCUUAGCUCAGUUGGUAGAGCGGCGGUCUCCAAAACCGUAGGUCGAGGGUUCAAGUCCUUCAGGGCCCGCCA
rnacentral:tRNA from 3 species